UACGGCCACAUCGCGUUAAAACAUCGGUUCCUGUACGAUCACCGAAGUUAAGCAACGUCGAGUUUUGUCAGUAACUAGAUGGGUGACCGCUUGGGAAUACCAGGCGCUGUAAU